rnacentral:misc_RNA from 2 species
GAACGCACAUUGCACCCUCUGGUAUUCCGGAGGGUAUGCCUGUUUGAGUGUCAUUAAUAUCUCAACACAGACAAGUUUUUAUGACUUGCACUGAUGCUUGGAUGCUGAAGGUUGCUGGCAAUAUUUGUCAGCUCCUUUUAAAUCUAUUAGCAGAAACCUAUGCAAAAAGCUGGCUUCAGUUUGAUAAGCACUUAUCUGUAUUGCUGUUGCUAGUGAAAUGCUCUUGUUUCAGCUUCCAAUUGUCCAAUUCUCUGGACUGCCUCUCAAGGCAAUUUAAUCUUGACACUUGACCUCAAAUCAGGUAGGACUACCCGCUGAACUUAAG